rnacentral:rRNA from 1 species
UACGUAGGUGGCGAGCGUUGUCCGGAUUUACUGGGCGUAAAGGGAGCGUAGGCGGACUUUUAAGUGAGAUGUGAAAAUACCCGGGCUCAACUUGGGUGCUGCAUUUCAAACUGGAAGUCUAGAGUGCAGGAGAGGAGAAUGGAAUUCCUAGUGUAGCGGUGAAAUGCGUAGAGAUUAGGAAGAACACCAGUGGCGAAGGCGAUUCUCUGGACUGUAACUGACGCUGAGGCUCGAAAGCGUGGGGAGCAAACAGG